rnacentral:rRNA from 1 species
CAGUAGCCGCGGUAAUACGAAGGGUGCAAGCGUUAAUCGGAAUUACUGGGCGUAAAGCGUGCGUAGGCGGUUUGUUAAGUCUGUUGUGAAAUCCCCGGGCUCAACCUGGGAAUGGCAAUGGAUACUGGCAAGCUAGAGUGUGUCAGAGGAUGGUGGAAUUCCCGGUGUGGCGGUGAAAUGCGUAGAGAUCGGGAGGAACAUCAGUGGCGAAGGCGGCCAUCUGGGACAACACUGACGCUGAGGCACGAAAGCGUGGGGAGCAAACAGGAUUAGAUACCCCCGUAGUCCCUGUCUCUUAUAC